UGCCCUUCUGGGGACCCGAACCGGCAAUCACGCCUUCGGUCGCCCUCUCGAACGAACUCGUAAAGCAAUAUACCCAUAGACGCCAUGAGCAGAUAUGGGCGACGUUGAGCAGCUGUCGGCAUAGUAGAGCUUGGACAAACUGCGUAAACUGGUAGGAUUCCUUACGGGACAUUACCAGUUUAACAAACAUCUACAUACGAUAGGGGUAGUAACAGACCCAAUCUGUCGUGGAUGCAAUGAAGAAGAGGAAACA